CUGUAGGUAUCUGUGUUGUGACACUCAGACAGAGAUGAGGGAGUGGUUCUCUACCUUCCUUACUAUCCAGUAUGAUGGUAACGUGUGGCCAGCGGAUGCAGUACAAACACGCAGGACCCGCGCGUUGCCGGCGGAUACGCGUCAUGCUCUUUAGAGAUGUCUGACAAUGGGGCCAGACAAGGGGAUAGACCACCAGCCGUAGAACCCACAAAGUCUUCAGAACAUUCCAGUAACAACGACCCCCCCCCCCCGCCCACACACACACCUGUGCCUAUGAGCUGGACCUCUAUGCAGGGGCAGCAGGUGUGUCAUGAGGAGAGAGAGACUCUGUUACCACAGUGCCUUUUAGGACUGCAGUGCACCCUGGGACCUGUAAGAAGCUCCUGGUAUGGACUGAGAGGCUGAGAACAAAGACUGACUGAGUACAGACUGUCACUGGAACAGACUGACUGAGUACAGACUGACUGAGUACAGACUGACUGAGUACAGACUGACUGAGUAUAGACUGACUGAGUAUAGACUGACUGAGUACAGACUGACUGAGUACAGACUGACUGAGUACAGACUGACUGAGUACAGACUGACUGAGUACAGACUGACUGAGUACAGACUGACUGAGUAUAGACUGUUACUGGAACAGACUGACUGAGUACAGACUGACUGAGUACAGACUGACUGAGUACAGACUCACUGAGUACAGACUGUUACUGGAACAGACUGACUGAGUACAGACUGACUGAGUACAGACUGACUGAGUACAGACUGUUACUUGAACAGACUGACUGAGUAUAGACUGACUGAGUACAGACUGACUGAGUACAGACUGACUGAGUACAGACUGACUGAGUACAGACUGACUGAGUAUAGACUGACUGAGUACAGACUGACUGAGUAUAGACUGUUACUGGAACAGACUGACUGAGUACAGACUGACUGAGUAUAGACUGUUACUGGAACAGACUGACUGAGUACAGACUGACUGAGUAUAGACUGACUGAGUACAGACUGACUGAGUACAGACUGACUGAGUACAGACUGAUUGAGUAUAGACUGACUGAGUAUAGACUGACUGAGUACAGACUGUCACUGGAACAGACUGACUGAGUAUAGACUGACUGAGUACAGACUGACUGAGUACAGACUGACUGAGUAUAGACUGACUGAGUAUAGACUGACUGAGUACAGACUGACUGAGUACAGACUGACUGAGUACAGACUGACUGAGUAUAGACUGUUACUGGAACAGACUGACUGAGUACAGACUGACUGAGUACAGACUGAUUGAGUAUAGACUGAUUGAGUACAGACUGACUGAGUAUAGACUGACUGAGUACAGACUGACUGAGUCUAGACUGACUGAGUAUAGACUGACUGAGUACAGACUGAUUGAGUAUAGACUGACUGAGUAUAGACUGACUGAGUACAGACUGACUGAGUACAGACUGACUGAGUACAGACUGACUGAGUACAGACUGACUGAGUACAGACUGACGGAGUACAGACUGACGGAGUACAGACUGACGGAGUACAGACUGACUGAGUACAGACUGACUGAGUACAGACUGACUGAGUACAGACUGUUACUGGAACAGACUGACCGAGUACAGACUGACCGAGUACAGACUGACUGAGUACAGACUGUUACUGGAACAGACUGACUGAGUACAGACUGACUGAGCACAGACUGACCGAGUACAGACUGACCGAGUACAGACUGACCGAGUACAGACUGACUGAGUACAGACUGUUACUGGAACAGACUGACUGAGUACAGACUGUUACUGGUACAGACUGACUGAGUACAGACUGACUGAGUACAGACUGACUGAGUACAGACUGACUGAGCACAGACUGACCGAGUACAGACUGACCGAGUACAGACUGACCGAGUACAGACUGACCGAGUACAGACUGACUGAGUACAGACUGACUGAGUACAGACUGUUACUGGAACAGACUGACUGAGUACAGACUGACUGAGUACAGACUGACUGAGUACAGACUGACUGAGCACAGACUGACCGAGUACAGACUGACCGAGUACAGACUGACCGAGUACAGACUGUUACUGGAACAGACUGACUGAGUACAGACUGACUGAGUACAGACUGUUACUGGUACAGACUGACUGAGUACAGACUGACUGAGUACAGACUGACUGAGUACAGACUGACUGAGUACAGACUGUUACUGGAACAGACUGACCGAGUACAGACUGACCGAGUACAGACUGACCGAGUACAGACUGUUACUGGAACAGACUGACUGAGUACAGACUGAUUGAGUACAGACUGACGGAGUACAGACUGUUACUGGAACAGACUGACCGAGUACAGACUGACUGAGUACAGACUGACUGAGUACAGACUGACUGAGUAUAGACUGACUGAGUACAGACUGACUGAGUACAGACUGACUGAGUACAGACUGACUGAGUAUAGACUGACUGAGUACAGACUGACUGAGUACAGACUGACGGAGUACAGACUGACUGAGUACAGACUGACUGAGUACAGACUGUUACUGGAACAGACUGACCGAGUACAGACUGACCGAGUACAGACUGACCGAGUACAGACUGACUGAGUACAGACUGUUACUGGAACAGACUGACUGAGUACAGACUGACUGAGCACAGACUGACCGAGUACAGACUGACCGAGUACAGACUGACCGAGUACAGACUGACCGAGUACAGACUGUUACUGGAACAGACUGACUGAGUACAGACUGUUACUGGUACAGACUGUUACUGGUACAGACUGACUGAGUACAGACUGACUGAGUACAGACUGACUGAGUACAGACUGACUGAGCACAGACUGACCGAGUACAGACUGACCGAGUACAGACUGACCGAGUACAGACUGACCGAGUACAGACUGACCGAGUACAGACUGACCGAGUACAGACUGACUGAGUACAGACUGUUACUGGAACAGACUGACUGAGUACAGACUGACUGAGUACAGACUGACUGAGUACAGACUGACUGAGCACAGACUGACCGAGUACAGACUGACUGAGCACAGACUGACCGAGUACAGACUGACCGAGUACAGACUGACCGAGUACAGACUGACCGAGUACAGACUGUUACUGGAACAGACUGACUGAGUACAGACUGACUGAGUACAGACUGUUACUGGUAC